rnacentral:rRNA from 1 species
CCCAGUUCGGACUGCAGCCUGCAACCCGGCUGCACGAAGCCGGAAUCGCUAGUAAUCGCAGAUCAGCAUGCUGCGGUGAAUACGUCCCCGGGUCUUGUACACACCGCCCGUCACACCAUGGGAGCCGGGAAUGCCCGAAGUCAGCGGCCCAACCGGAAAGGGGGAGCUGCCGAAGGCAGGCCUGGUGACUGGGGUGAAGUCGUAACAAGGUACC